GUUGGUGAGGUAACGGCUCACCAAGGCGACGAUCCCUAGCUGGUCUGAGAGGAUGACCAGCCACACUGGAACUGAGACACGGUCCAGACUCCUACGGGAGGCAGCAGUGGGGAAUAUUGCACAAUGGGCGCAAGCCUGAUGCAGCCAUGCCGCGUGUAUGAAGAAGGCCUUCGGGUUGUAAAGUACUUUCAGCGGGGAGGAAGGUGUUGUGGUUAAUAACCGCAGCAAUUGACGUUACCCGCAGAAGAAGCACCGGCUAACUCCGUGCCAGCAGCCGCGGUAAUACGGAGGGUGCAAGCGUUAAUCGGAAUUACUGGGCGUAAAGCGCACGCAGGCGGUCUGUCAAGUCGGAUGUGAAAUCCCCGGGCUCAACCUGGGAACUGCAUUCGAAACUGGCAGGC
rnacentral:rRNA from 1 species